rnacentral:rRNA from 2 species
GGAUGCGAUCGUACCAGCACUAAAGCACCGGUCCCAUCAGAACUCUGAAGUUAAGCAUGCUUGGGAGAGAGUAGUACUAGGAUGGGUGACCUCCUGGGAAGUCCUCGUGUUGCAUUCC